rnacentral:rRNA from 1 species
AUGCAAGUCGAGCGGUAGAGAGAAGCUUGCUUCUCUUGAGAGCGGCGGACGGGUGAGUAAUGCCUAGGAAUCUGCCUGGUAGUGGGGGAUAACGUUCGGAAACGAACGCUAAUACCGCAUACGUCCUACGGGAGAAAGCAGGGGACCUUCGGGCCUUGCGCUAUCAGAUGAGCCUAGGUCGGAUUAGCUAGUUGGCGAGGUAAUGGCUCACCAAGGCGACGAUCCGUAACUGGUCUGAGAGGAUGAUCAGUCACACUGGAACUGAGACACGGUCCAGACUCCUACGGGAGGCAGCAGUGGGGAAUAUUGGACAAUGGGCGAAAGCCUGAUCCAGCCAUGCCGCGUGUGUGAAGAAGGUCUUCGGAUUGUAAAGCACUUUAAGUUGGGAGGAAGGGCAUUAACCUAAUACGUUAGUGUUUUGACGUUACCGACAGAAUAAGCACCGGCUAACUCUGUGCCAGCAGCCGCGGUAAUACAGAGGGUGCAAGCGUUAAUCGGAAUUACUGGGCGUAAAGCGCGCGUAGGUGGUUUGUUAAGUUGGAUGUGAAAUCCCCGGGCUCAACCUGGGAACUGCAUUCAAAACUGACUGACUAGAGUAUGGUAGAGGGUGGUGGGAAUUUUCCUGUGUA